rnacentral:rRNA from 1 species
GUAGGUGGCAAGCGUUGUCCGGAAUUAUUGGGCGUAAAGCGCGCGCAGGCGGUUCUUUAAGUCUGAUGUGAAAGCCCACGGGCUCAACCGUGGAGGUCAUUGGAAACUGGAGAACUUGAGUACAGAAGAGGAAAGCGGAAUUCCACGUGUAGCGGUGAAAUGCGUAGAGAUGUGGAGGAACACCAGUGGCGAAGGCGGCUUUCUGGUCUGUAACUGACGCUGAGGCGCGAAAGCGUGGGGAGCAAACAGGAUUAGAUACCCUGGUAGUCCACGCCGUAAACGAUGAGUGCUAAGUGUUAGGGGGUUUCCGCCCCUUAGUGCUGCAGCUAACGCAUUAAGCACUCCGCCUGGGGAGUACGGCCGCAAGGCUG